rnacentral:rRNA from 1 species
GGAUGUGAAAUCCCCGGGCUCAACCUGGGAACUGCAUUCGAAACUGGCAGGCUUGAGUCUUGUAGAGGGGGGUAGAAUUCCAGGUGUAGCGGUGAAAUGCGUAGAGAUCUGGAGGAAUACCGGUGGCGAAGGCGGCCCCCUGGACAAAGACUGACGCUCAGGUGCGAAAGCGUGGGGAGCAAACAGGAUUAGAUACCCUGGUAGUCCACGCCGUAAACGAUGUCUACUUGGAGGUUGUGCCCUUGAGGCGUGGCUUCCGGAGCUAACGCGUUAAGUAGACCGCCUGGGGAGUACGGCCGCAAGGUUAAAACUCAAAUGAAUUGACGGGGGCCCGCACAAGCGGUGGAGCAUGUGGUUUAAUUCGAUGCAACGCGAAGAACCUUACCUGGUCUUGACAUCCACGGAAGUUUUCAGAGAUGAGAAUGUGCCUUCGGGAACCGUGAGACAGGUGCUGCAUGGCUGUCGUCAGCUCGUGUUGUGAAAUGUUGGGUUAAGUCCCGCAACGAGCGCAAC